rnacentral:rRNA from 1 species
AACGAACGCUGGCGGCAGGCCUAACACAUGCAAGUCGAACGCUCCAGCAAUGGAGAGUGGCAGACGGGUGAGUAACGCGUGGGAACCUUCCCAGUGGUACGGAAUAGCUCAGGGAAACUUGAGGUAAUACCGUAUACGCCCCUUGGGGGAAAGAUUUAUCGCCAUUGGAUGGGCCCGCGUAGGAUUAGCUAGUUGGUGAGGUAAUGGCUCACCAAGGCGACGAUCCUUAGCUGGUCUGAGAGGAUGAUCAGCCACACUGGGACUGAGACACGGCCCAGACUCCUACGGGAGGCAGCAGUGGGGAAUAUUGGACAAUGGGCGCAAGCCUGAUCCAGCCAUGCCGCGUGAGUGACGAAGGCCUUAGGGUUGUAAAGCUCUUUCAGCUGGGAAGAUAAUGACGGUACCAGCAGAAGAAGCCCCGGCUAACUCCGUGCCAGCAGCCGCCGUAAGAC